ACACGGCGCGGGGGGGGCGGCGCUUGGGGGCGGCCGCCAUCGAACCGACCGCCGUUGAACCGCCAUUAAAUCCGCCGUUAAAGCCGCCGUUGCCACCAGCGGUGCCGCCGCCAUGCCGCUCCGUGUCACCGUGCUCUACUGCGGAGCCUGAGGCUACAAACCCAAGUACGAACGGCUGCGGGCCGAGCUGGAGAAGCGCUUCCCCGGAGCGCUGGAGAUGCGAGGCCAGGGCACGAAGGAGGUGACGGGAUGGUUCGAGGUGACGGUGGGCGGCCGCCUGGUGCACUCCAAGAAGAACGGCGACGGCUUCGUGGACACAGACGCCAAACUGCAGCGCCUUGUGGCCGCCAUCCAAGCCGCCCUGCCGUAGGCCCCACAUCGCCCCACAUCCAAUGGGGCCGUGGGGGCCCACGCUGACCCCCCAGCACGGCCUGGCUCUGCCGGCACAGCGCUCCAUGAUGGGAGCAGCCAAAAAGCCCCCGGGCACAGGGCUGCUUCCAGAAACCCGCGCACGGCAUCGGAGCCAGAGCUCCUGUUCCAACCUGCUGUGGGUCUGCUUUACGUCGUCGACGCUUCACUCCAUGUCAUCCAGGUUUCAUUUGGCACCACCCAGGUUUGGCACACGCUUUA